AUGCUUAUGGUCCAAAAGGGCAUUAGCUUUGAAGGGGCUAAAGGUUUUCAAGCAUU
rnacentral:tRNA from 1 species